rnacentral:rRNA from 1 species
CUUGGGAAUCUGGCUUAUGGAGGGGGAUAACGACGGGAAACUGUCGCUAAUACCGCGUAGUGUCGAGAGACGAAAGUGCGGGACUGAGAGGCCGCAUGCCAUAGGAUGAGCCCAAGUGGGAUUAGGUAGUUGGUGGGGUAAAGGCCUACCAAGCCUGCGAUCUCUAGCUGGUCUGAGAGGAUGACCAGCCACACUGGAACUGAGACACGGUCCAGACUCCUACGGGAGGCAGCAGUUGGGAAUAUUGCGCAAUGGGGGGAACCCUGACGCAGCCAUGCCGCGUGAAUUAAGAAGGCCUUCGGGUUGUAAAGUUCUUUCGGUAUUGAGGAAGGUUGAUGUGUUAAUAGCACAUCAAAUUGACGUUAAAUACAGAAGAAGCACCGGCCAACUCCGUGCCAUCUGCCGCGGUAAUACGGAGGGUGCGAGCGUUAAUCGGAAUAACUGGGCGUAAAGGGCACGCAGGCGGUUAUUUAAGUGAGGUGUGAAAGCCCCGGGCUUAACCUGGGAAUUGCAUUUCAGACUGGGUAACUAGAGUACUUUAGGGAGGGGUAGAAUUCCACGUGUAGCGGUGAAAUGCGUAGAGAUGUGGAGGAAUACCGAAGGCGAAGGCAGCCCCUUGGGAAUGUACUGACGCUCAUGUGCGAAAGCGUGGGGAGCAAACAGGAUUAGAUACCCUGGUAGUCCACGCUGUAAACGCUGUCGAUUUGGGGGUUGGGG